rnacentral:rRNA from 1 species
GACGAACGCUGGCGGCGUGCUUAACACAUGCAAGUCGAACGGAAAGGCCCUGCUUUUGUGGGGUGCUCGAGUGGCGAACGGGUGAGUAACACGUGAGUAACCUGCCCUUGACUUUGGGAUAACUUCAGGAAACUGGGGCUAAUACCGGAUAGGAGCUCCUGCUGCAUGGUGGGGGUUGGAAAGUUUCGGCGGUUGGGGAUGGACUCGCGGCUUAUCAGCUUGUUGGUGGGGUAGUGGCUUACCAAGGCUUUGACGGGUAGCCGGCCUGAGAGGGUGACCGGCCACAUUGGGAAUGAGAUACGGCCCAGACUCCUACGGGAGGCAGGAGGGGGGAAUAUUGCACAAUGGGCGGAAGCCUGAUGCAGCAACGCCGGGUGCGGGAUGACGGCCUUCGGGUUGGAAACCGCUUUCGCCUGUGACGAAGCGUGAGUGACGGUAAUGGGUAAAGAAGAACCGGCUAACUACGUG